AGAAAAUCUUGAGAGAACAGAAAAAAGAUUAUUUGUUAAAGCAAAAAUUAUAUUCACUGCAUUGGUCAUGAUGUUGACUCCCUCUCAACCAUGCCAUACAAAUAGACUGUAUAAUACAAUAAUGAAGGUUUUCGGCAUUUCUUGGUGACUCACUGAUGCUGUAGUACUGAGACACUUCGGUUCAUUUGCUUCAGCUUGCAAUGCAGUCUUCAAGAGGCAGGAAGCUAGUGCCAGGCUGAUAAUAGUUCAGAGCUCCACCACCCUGCUUUCCACCUGCAGUUUAUGUAUCUGUAUAGCUCUUAGAGAAGGUGUGUCAAAUGAGAGAAGUCCUUUAUUCAGCCAUCAAGUUUACCUUUAUAACAAGAGCAGCAGGAGUGGUCAAAAUUGAUGUUGAUGUAUAUAAUUCAGUGAGUAAUUCUGAGAGGGGUAAAGAAGACUCUGAUGUUUUCCAUGCUGAGGUUUGACCACCAAUGGCUCCACCUGGACCCACCAACCUCUCCUGUGGCCCCAACCCAGAAGUAAUUCAGCACACAUGAAGACCAUUUCCCACACUCCUAUGACUGCACCCUCAACCAAUCAGCAGCAAGCUCUCAUUGCCUAGCGUCCCCUCUUUCUUUUCCCCAACCAUCCUUGAAAAAUUCCAGCGUGUAAAUUUUCCAGAAGACUGGUUGGAGUAAUAAUAAAAGUGUGGUCUCCCAUUCAGCUGACUCCGUGUGAAUUAAGCUCUGUCUCUAUUGCAAUUCCCCUGUCUUGAUAAAUCAGCUUUAUCCAGGCAGCAGGCAAAAUGAACCCACUGGGUGGUUACACUGAACAUGG
rnacentral:lncRNA from 1 species